rnacentral:misc_RNA from 1 species
GAAAGGGAUAUGAAAAAGCUUCCCCGCUGCGGCUGGUGAAGGAAGUCGGAAACAAUGGAAGCAGUGGCGGAGGGACUUUGGGGACUGGCAGAUUAUGAGGAGAAGAAGGGAGAAAUCGGAAAAGCUGUGAAAUGCUUGGAAGCUAUAUGUCAAAGCCAAGUUUCUUUCCUUCCUAUUAUCGAGAUUAAAACACGCCUCCGCAUUGCUACUCUCCUUCUCAACCACUCCAAUAAUGUCAACCAUGCCAAAUCCCAUCUCGAACGUUCUCAAUUGCUGUUGAAGUCCAUUCCCUCAUUCUUUGAGCUCAAAUGCAGAGCAUAUAGCUUGUUGAGCCAGUGUUACCAGCUAGUCGGGGCUAUUCCUUCACAAAAGCAGAUACUGAACAAGGCUUUAGAACUUAUUUCGACUUCUGAAGAUGGGUUUUCCGGGAGGUUAUGGUACUGCAACUUCAAUUCUCAACUAGCAAAUGCUCUAACAAUUGAAGGAGAUCAUCAUGGUUCAAUUUCCGCACUGGAUGAUGGCCUAAUGUGUGCAACUCAAAUGUGCUAUCCGGAGUUACAGAUGUUUUUUGCAACUUCGAUCUUGCAUGUGCACCUCAUGCAAUGGGAGAAUGAAAGUUCCGUUCGAGAUGCUCUCAACAGAUGCGAUGUAAUAUGGGAAUCUAUUGAAUUGGAAAAAAGACAGCAAUGCCUUGGUUUACUAUUUUACAACGAGCUGUUGCAUGUAUUUUAUCUACUUCGGAUAUGCGACUACAAGAAUGCUGGUCAACAUGUUGACAAAUUGGAUGCUGCCAUGAAGUCUGAUUUACAGAGGAGGCAACAGAUCAAUGAAUUGAGUAAGGAGCUUGAUGCAGUGAAUGAAAGUCUCUCUCGUUCUGAUUUAAAUUACAGAGACAGAUCUGCCCUUUCUGCAAAACGAGCUUACCUUGAGGAGCAACUUAGUAACUUAACUGGAAAUGACAAAGAAUUUUCUGAACCAAUAUACUUUGGAAGUGCAAGACGAACUUGGGAAGACAAGCUGGGAUUGGCACCACCUCCUGUUGAUGGAGAGUGGCUACCUAAAGGUGCUAUUUAUGCAUUGAUAGACCUUACAGUAGCCAUUUUUAACCGCCCCAAAGGACUUUUUAAGGAGUGCUUGAAGAGGAUCCAGUCUGGCCUGCAAACUGUUCAAGAGGAGCUGAAAAAGUAUGGGAUUCUUGAUGGAAUGAGAGAAGUGGAUUUGCAACACUCUGCUAUUUGGAUUGCCAGUAUCUAUUUGAUGCUCCUUAUGCACUUUCUUGAAAACAAAGUAGCAGUUGAUCUUACGCGUUCUGAAUUUGUUGAAGCGCAAGAGGCAUUGGUGCAGAUGAGAAGUUGGUAUUUUCGCUUUCCAACAAUUUUACAAGCUUGUGAGUGUGUUAUUGAAAUGCUUCGAGGACAGUAUGCACAUUGUGUCGGCUGCUACGAUGAAGCAAAUUAUCAUUUCCUUGAAGCUUCAAGGCUAAGUGAGAACAAAUCAAUGCAAGCCAUGUGCUUUGUUUAUGCAGCAAUCUCUUACAUCUGCAUGGGAGAUGCUGAAUCCUCAGCAAAGGCCCUUGAUCUGAUCGGACCAGUUUUAGGAGUGAUGGAUUCUUUCACGGGAGUGCGAGAGAAAACGAGUGUCCUCCUUGCUCAUGGAUUUCUACUGAUGAGGCAGCAAAAUCUACAAGAAGCAAGAAAUCGACUAGCGUUUGGCUUGCAGACAACACAUAAUACUUUGGGGAAUCUGCAACUUGUUUCACAAUAUUUGACUGUAUUGGGGAAUCUAGGACUUGCCCUCCGCGACACUGUACAAGCUAGGGAGAUCUUGAGGUCCUCUCUUACAUUAGCUAAGAAGCUUAAUGAUAUUCCAACUCAGAUCUGGGUAUUAUCGAAUUUGACAGCUAUGUACCAGCAACUGGGUGAAAAAGGGAGUGAAAUGGAGAAUCUUGAUUACCAAACAAAGAAAGUAGAGGAUCUGCAAAAAAGGAUUUCUACUGCAUGUUUGUCCAGUCACCAUGUUGAACUGAUUGCCAAAGUGAAAGCUGAAGCCUAUCAAUUGAGUGAGACUGACAUUAAACGAGCAAUCUCUGGCCCUUCUAUGAGAGUUGAUCUGGACAUUCCUGAAUCCAUUGGUCUGUCAGUAACUUCUCCCAUGGCGUCCUCAUCAAGGCUUAUGGAUUUUGAUAUGGGAAGACUGCGAAAGAGAAAAGCUUAAUUUUCUACUUAUAAAUUUGUAAUUAUUUCUUUGAUAAAACCAACGUAAGAGGUGAGAGUGUGCUUCCUUUCCUUCUUGGUCUUUCAAGGAUGUCCAAUUAUGAUAGUUGAUAGUUUACGGAUCUUUAUUGUGCAGUGAUAUUGUAAUAUAUAAUCCCUAACUUCUUCCCAGAAAAAAACAAGGGAUGAUAAACUAUUGACUGGAAUUGCUAAAAGAUAUGUGC